rnacentral:rRNA from 1 species
CAAUAGCGUAUAUUAAAGUUGUUGCGGUUAAAAAGCUCGUAGUUGGAUUUCUGCUGAGAACGACCGGUCCGCCCUCUGGGUGUGUAUCUGGCUCUUUCUUGGCAUCUUCUUGGUGAACGUUGCUGCACUUGACUGUGUGGAGCGCUACCCAGGACUUUUACUUUGAGGAAAUUAGAGUGUUUCAAGCAGGCAUACGCCUUGAAUACAUUAGCAUGGAAUAAUAAGAUAGGACCUCGGCUCUAUUUUGUUGGUUUCUAGAGCUGAGGUAAUGAUUAAUAGGGAUAGUUGGGGGCAUUCGUAUUUAACUGUCAGAGGUGAAAUUCUUGGAUUUGUUAAAGACGGACUACUGCGAANGNAUUUGCNAAGGAUGUUUNCAUUG